rnacentral:rRNA from 1 species
CCUACGGGAGGCAGCAGUGGGGGAUAUUGCACAAUGGGGGAAACCCUGAUGCAGCGACGCCGCGUGGGUGAAGAAGCGCCUCGGCGCGUAAAGCCCUGUCAACAGGGAAGAAAAUGACGGUACCUGAAGAAGAAGCCCCGGCUAACUACGUGCCAGCAGCCGCGGUAAUACGUAGGGGGCAAGCGUUAUCCGGAUUUACUGGGUGUAAAGGGGGCGCAGACGGCGAUGCAAGCCAGGAGUGAAAGCCCGGGGCCCAACCCCGGGACUGCUCUUGGAACUGCGUGGCUAGAGUGCAGGAGGGGCAGGCGGAAGUCCUGGUGUAGCGGUGAAAUGCGUAGAUAUCAGGAGGAACACCGGUGGCGAAGGCGGCCUGCUGGACUGCAACUGACGUUGAGGCCCGAAAGCGUGUGGAGCAAACAGGAUUAGAUACCCCAGUAGUC